rnacentral:rRNA from 1 species
GACGAACGCUGGCGGCGUGCCUAAUACAUGCAAGUCGAACGCUUCUUUCCUCCCGAGUGCUUGCGCUCAAUUGGAAAGAGGAGUGGCGGACGGGUGAGUAACACGUGGGUAACCUACCCAUCAGAGGGGGAUAACACUUGGAAACAGGUGCUAAUACCGCAUAACAGUUUAUGCCGCAUGGCAUAAGAGUGAAAGGCGCUUUCGGGUGUCGUUGAUGGAUGGACCCGCGGUGCAUUAGCUAGUUGGUGAGGUAACGGCUCACCAAGGCCACGAUGCAUAGCCGAACUGAGAGGGUGAUCGGCCACACUGGGACUGAGACACGGCCCAGACUCCUACGGGAGGCAGCAGUAGGGAAUCUUCGGCAAUGGACGAAAGUCUGACCGAGCAACGCCGCGUGAGUGAAGAAGGUGUUCGGAUCGUAAAACUCUGUUGUUAGAGAAGAACAAGGACGUUAGUAACUGAACGUCCCCUGACGGUAUCUAACCAGAAAGCCACGGCUAACUACGUG